GGAACUAUAAAUUAUAGUUCUCACGCCCUCUAUUUCAUAUUUCCUUUCAGAGCCUUCCACGCCGGGUGAAGCUAGGGGCCGCGGAAAGGGUAUUGCCUCGAGUUAGCUAACUGGCGAGGGACUUAUCGAUAAGUGGUCUAUCUCUCAUUAGUUUUAUUUUGGAGAGGUUGAGAGUUGUACCUGUGUAUAGAGACCACCUUUUUUUGUAUGUAUUUUGAGACGGUUGUUGCAUUACAUUAUGUUUUACUUUAGUUGAGUAGUUCUCUUUCUUCCAUUUCUGUUGAUAGAAUUAGUUGUAUACUCGCUCUGAUAUCUCUAGUUACUGUUUACUCUUAUCUUUCAUACCUCUUUAUUGUAAACGCCUUAUAUGUACAGGCAUAUGGCGGGUCUGGGCACGCACCGGGUGGGCCUAUGCCGGGUCCCGGGGCGUGACAAAGACGAAGAAGAAAAAUUGGAAGAGGGGAU
rnacentral:lncRNA from 1 species